rnacentral:rRNA from 1 species
AGAGUUUGAUCAUGGCUCAGAACGAACGUUGGCGGCGUGCUCAACACAUGCAAGUCGAACGAGAAAGUUCCUUCGGGAAUGAGUAAAGUGGCGCACGGGUGAGUAACGCGUAAGUAAUCUACCUUGGCAUUUGGAAUAACUACGGGAAGCUGUAGCUAAUACCGGAUACGUUCUCCUUUCUACGGAUUGGAGAAGAAAGAUGACCUCUUCUUGAAAGUUAUCGUGCUAAGAGGAGCUUGCGUACCAUUAGCUAGUUGGUAGGGUAAUGGCCUACCAAGGCAACGAUGGUUAGCGGGUCUGAGAGGAUGAUCCGCCACACUGGAACUGGAACACGGACCAGACUCCUACGAGAGGCAGCAGUGAGGAAUAUUGCGCAAUGGGGGAAACCCUGACGCAGCGACGCCGCGUGGAUGAUGAAGGCCUUAGGGUCGUAAAAUCCUGUCAGGUGGGAAGAAAUGUACGAGGGAACAAUACCCCUUGUGCUUGACGGUACCACCAAAGGAAGCACCGGCUAACUCAGUGCCAGCAGCCGCGGUAAUACUGAGGGUGCAAACGUUGUUCGGAAUUACUGGGCGUAAAGCGCGCGUAGGCGGUUUGUUAAGUCAGAUGUGAAAGCCCAAGGCUCAA